rnacentral:lncRNA from 1 species
UGCUGCCUUUGGUGUGUUUAGUGAGCUCUGAUCCUUGGACAGAGGCUCUUCUGGAGGACUUCUUAGCUUGUGACCUUCCAAGAAGUACGAUCAGUGAGGGUUGCGCAGUUACCAAAUAUCCGUACAAGGCAUAGCAAGAGGCUUGUAUGGCUAUCACUCCAUUCAGAGCAACAAAAUAAAGAGGAACAGGUACGCUAACAAUAAGCCCAAUUGAAAUGUCAGCACUUAGCAGCAGCUCAACAAGGGCUCUUGCAGAAUCGUUCCUGAUCCUGAUUCAGCAGUCAUGUAGGACUGAUGAAUGCUUCAGCCAAUUCUGGAUGGAUUGGCAGGAAGUAGACUUAACUGCCUGUUCUGUGGUGCAGUUGUGCCCUAUUUGUUAACUGGGUUCUGAACAAAGCCAAACUGUAAUUUUCAGAUACAGAAUGUCCCUCUGACUUCACUUGGACUGAUGCCUUUCUCUUUGGCUACAAUGAAACUGUCCUCAGUGGCGAAAAUGUGAUGUGUUGCCCCAGUGGUAGAUAAGUAUCUGGUUCUUAUGCAGCUUUUUCUUCCUCCCUGCUGUUCGUGAGCUUAAAGAAAUACAUUUUUACUCUAGCACUGUUAAUUCCUUCUGCUUUUUAAUACCUACAAUCCUUCUUAGGAAUGGUCCUGCCUCUUGGCAGCCUGACAUGUUGGUACUCCCAUGUUGGGACUCAGUUUUCA